UAACGGUUUGGACAUCGCCGGUUUCGGU
rnacentral:sRNA from 1 species